ensembl:lncRNA
ACCAGUAUGGACCAGUAGAAACCAGUAUGGACCAAUAGGGACCCAUAGGGGUCAAUAGAGAGCCAUAGGAACCAAUAGAAGAUCCCAGGAGAACCCAUUGUCCAACCCCUUCCAACACCAGUAUGGACCAGUAUAGACCAGUAUGGACCAGUAUAGACCAGUAUAGACCAGUAUGGACCAGUACGGACCAGUAGAAACCAGUAUAGACCAAUAGGGACCCAUAGUGGUCAAUAGAGGCCCAUAGGAACCAAUAGAAGAUCCCAGGAGAACCCAUUGUCCAACCCCUUCCAACCCCUUCCAACACCAGUAUGGACCAGUAUAGACCAGUAUAAACCAGUAUGGACCAGUAUAGACCAGUAUAGACCAGUAUGGACCAGUACGGACCAGUAGAAACCAGUAUGGACCAAUAGGGGCCCAUAGUGGUCAAUAGAGACCCAUAGGAACCAAUAGAAGACCCCAGGAGAGCCCAUUGUCCAACCCCUUCCCACACCAGUAUGGACCAGUAUAGACCAGUAUGGACCAGUAUAAACCAGUAUGGACCAGUAGAAACCAGUAUGGACCAAUAGGGACCCAUAGUGGUCAAUAGAGAGCCAUAGGAACCAAUAGAAGAUCCCAGGAGAACCCAUUGUCCAACCCCUUCCAACACCAGUAUGGACCAGUAUGGACCAGUAUAAACCAGUAUGGACCAGUAUAGACCAGUAUGGACCAGUAGGAACCAGUAUAGACCAGUAUGGACCAGUAUGGACCAGUAUAGAACAGUAUGGGCCACAACGGACCCAUAGAGGUCAAUAGAGACCCAUAGGAACCAAUAGAAGAUCCCAGGAGAGCCCAUUGUCCAACCCAUUCCAACACCAGUAUGGACCAGUAUGGACCAGUAUAGACCAGUAUAGACCAGUAUAGACCAGUAUGGACCAGUAGAAACCAGUAUGGACCAGUAGAAACCAGUAUAGACCAAUAGAGACCCAUAGGGGUCAAUAGAGAGCCAUAGGAACCAAUAGAAGAUCCCAGGAGAACCCAUUGUCCAACCCAUUCCAACACCAGUAUGGACCAGUAUGGACCAGUAUAAACCAGUAUGGACCAGUAUAGACCAGUAUGGACCAGUAGAAACCAGUAUAGACCAAUAGGGACCCAUAGAG